AUUGAACGCUGGCGGCAGGCCUAACACAUGCAAGUCGAACGAGUGGCGGACGGGUGAGUAAUGUCUGGGAAACUGCCUGAUGGAGGGGGAUAACUACUGGAAACGGUAGCUAAUACCGCAUACCAUCAGAUGUGCCCAGAUGGGAUUAGCUUGUUGGUGGGGUAACGGCUCACCAAGGCGACGAUCCCUAGCUGGUCUGAGAGGAUGACCAGCCACACCUGAACUUGGACACGGUUCAGACUCCUUCGGGGGGCAGCAGGGGGGGAUUAUGGCAAAUGGGGGCAAGACCGGUGCAGCCAAGCCGCGGGUAUGGAGAAGGGCCUCGGGUUGUAAAGUACCUUCCGCGGGGAGGCGUUACCCGGAGGAGAAGCACCGGGUAAAUCCGUGCCAGCAGCCCCGGUAAUAC
rnacentral:rRNA from 1 species